rnacentral:lncRNA from 1 species
GAGUCCUUCCCUGCCCUGUCUUCCUUCCCCCAGUGCUCCCUCUGUGGGGAACCCUCCCUAAGUAGUGAGCAUCCAAAAAUGGUUCCGGAGACUGGAAGAAGGGGUUGCCUCCGGGAGAGGCCUGCAUACACUCUUUCCCCACCGUGCUUCUCAGCCCUGGGAUCUAGCCGGGAUCCUGAGCCAGGGGUUUCUCUGUGUAACAGUCCCGGCUGUCCUGGAACUCACUGAGACUAAAGCUAUGGGAACGCGUCAUUCAUGCUGGUUAUUAUUGCUGUUACUGUUACCUCGAAGAACCCCCGGAGAAGGAUGGUGCUAACAAACUCACCGUCUCCUCAGCUCUGCUCCACGGCUGUGUCCACCCCCCCCCCAUCUCUCCAUGCCUGGACACAUGCCUGCACCUUCCAACUGCUCUUCCAUGGCUCAUCCUGGCCUCUGCUUCUGCUGCUUCGUUCACUUGGUGCCCACCCUCUGGUCUCUACCAAUCAAUCACCCCUCAGCUUUCAGGAUUCCACGUCCCCAGGAAAACUUUUCUCAGGGCCCCCGAGAAGCUCUAAGAGUGGUGCUUUUGCUUCUCGAAUUGGUGGCACUUAUGUAUCGGAGCAUGUGUGUGUUUGGUAAACCAAUGAAUGAAAGUGACCUUGGGCAAAAUAUUUCCUUUCUGGGACUCAGUUUCCUCCCUUUAAAUCAAGGGCCUCAAACUCAGUGGGCCAUGUACUGAAGGGCCAGUCAUUCUCUGGGCAACUAGCUAGGGCUGCCAAAGCAGGAGUCUGAGCUUAGGGUUGCAGGCAUGGGGAGGAAUAAGAGCCCCUCACACUAGCAGUGCAUGGGGAACUGCUUUUUUCAGACAGG